GCAUGGAUAUGGAUUUAUGGCAGGCCCAUUCCUCUGAGCCUAUCAUAAUGUCCUAUGCUGGAGCAAACUGUAACCCUGAACUUUUGCCUGACCUCCUUGUCUGUAGGCCUAGGCACUAAAGCAGUUUUCACAGUG
rnacentral:snoRNA from 1 species